rnacentral:snRNA from 1 species
GUACUUACCUGGCAAGGGAUGUUCUGUGAUCACAAAAAUGGUUUUCUAGGGUCCAUCAUAUUCUGCCUAUGCCAGCCCCUGUGAUUUCUCAGAAUACAAGAAGUUUGAUACAUAAUUUGUAGUAGUUUAGCAUUGCAUUGAC